AGUGAACGCUGGCGGUAGGCCUAACACAUGCAAGUCGAACGGCAGCACAGUAAGAGCUUGCUCUUACGGGUGGCGAGUGGCGGACGGGUGAGGAAUACAUCGGAAUCUACUUUUUCGUGGGGGAUAACGUAGGGAAACUUACGCUAAUACCGCAUACGCCCUACGGGUGAAAGCAGGGGAUCUUCGGACCUUGCGCGAUUGAAUGAGCCGAUGUGGGAUUAGCUAGUUGGCGGGGUAAAGGCCCACCAAGGCGACGAUCCGUAGCUGGUGUGAGAGGCUGGUCGCCGGCACUGGAGGGGAGACACGGUCCAGACUCCUACGGGAGGGAGCAGUGGGGAAUAUUAGACAAUAGGCGCAAGCAUGACCCAGCGAGACCGAGUGAGAGAAGAAGGCCCUCGGGUUGUAAAGCCCUUUUGUUGGGAAAGAAAAGCAGCAGGUUAAUACCCCGCGGUUCUGACGGUACCCAAAGAAUAAGCACCGGCUAACUACGUG
rnacentral:rRNA from 1 species